UACGGAGGGUGCGAGCGUUAAUCGGAAUUACUGGGCGUAAAGGGCACGCAGGCGGCGCAUUAAGUCAGAUGUGAAAUCCCCGGGCUCAACCUGAGAAUGGCAUUUGAAACUGGUGAGCUAGAGUUUUGUAGAGGGGGGUAGAAUUCCAGGUGUAGCGGUGGAAUGCGUAGAUAUCUGGAGGAAUACCGGUGGCGAAGGCGGCCCCCUGGAUGAAGACUGACGCUUAUGUGCGAAAGCGUGGGUAGCAAACAGG
rnacentral:rRNA from 1 species